GACUCUGAGUGGUGGAUCACUUGGCUUGUGCAUUGAUGAAGAACACAGCUAGCUGUGAGAACUAAUGUGAAUUGCAGGACACAUUGAUCAUCGAUACUUCAAACACACUUUGCAGCCCUGGGUUAAACCUGGGCUACAACUGUCUGAAGGUCA